rnacentral:rRNA from 2 species
CCUGGCGGCACUAGCGUGGUGGUCCCACCUGACCCCAUGCCGAACUCAGAAGUGAAACGCCGUAGCGCCGAUGGUAGUGUGGGGUCUCCCCAUGCGAGAGUAGGGAACUGCCAGGC